rnacentral:lncRNA from 1 species
AAGCUCCCAGAAUCCAAUUGGAUGCUGGGUUGCAGGGUGGUUAGAGCUAUAGGCAGUGAGCUGAGGCAGGAAUCAGAUGGCUUUACCCAUGGAGAUUUUUGUUGCUGGCUAAUUUGCUACAUAUUCUUAGAACUGGUUUGAUUAAGAAAAAAAGCUGUUGGUGUGGUGACUGGAAGUCUAACAACAAUCACCACAAUAGAUAUCUGCAGCCCUGAAACCAAUUUUCAGGCUUGAAUUUCUUUUACUUUUCUUCUUUCUUUCUUAUUGUGUGUCUCCAAGUCCUGAGUCUACUGGGGUUAUGUAGAAAAAAAGUUUUAAACAUUUUUUUGGGAAAUAAUUGCAAAGUUACAGCUAAAUUAUAAGAAAAAAAGAAGAGUUCUACACUUUGGGAGGCCGAGGCGGGUGGAUCAUGAGGUCAGGAGAUCGAGACCAUCCUGGCUAACAAGCUUCCUGCACACUUCCGACAACUUGAUUGAACUGGACGCCCUUGGAAGUUCAUGGCAUCGCCUAUAACAGAGUCUGUGUAGGCAAAACCCCAGCCUAUGCUGGAAUUUAACUCUUAAAAAGCAACCUAAGUAGAACACAAGAUUGUAAACUCUAAGGAGAUUCUAACACCAAAAGAAAGUAUGACUUGAGCCAAUGAAAUGCCAAAAUCCAGUUCUAGCUGACAACGUCAGUAGUGGAGGACAGACUUCCACUUGCCAUUUGAGGAAAAAGCAUGUGGAUUCAUGAGCAUAACAGCAGAUACCCCACUACCAAUUACCAAAUCCUGUGCACAUUCCUGUUCUCCAGUCACCUUUUCUCCAUAAAUGUUUGUGGUAUAAAAUGAAAACCUUCCCAAAUAUUAACCAGUCAACCUUUAUUCUCUGAUUUCUUUCUCUAAACUAGUGAUGCCUUCAUUUUCAGUGUCACUGACUUGCACCUAACAGUUCCCAGCUUAUGUUGUAGGUGCUAUCUCAUCUUAAACUGAUCCUGUUCUCGAGUUUCCAGAGCGAGUACAGCCCUGCCACCUCUGGAGUUCAGCCCAGUGAAAGUGCUUUCAGACUUCUGACCUCCAGAACUGUGGACCGACCAUGGACUGAUGGAAAAAGGAACCACGAGGAGCUCCAACAAUGGGAAUGUGGUUGCCUCUUCCUAGUGCAACACCUGGGUUCUGGAGUGGUGCAUGCCAGGUAUUUGGCAUGAAGGUGGAACAAGCAAGGAUGGUGCUGGUGUUUGUAGCCACAACCAAUGUGGUGUGAGCAGGGCCUGUUGCUGGCAGCUCUGAGUGGACAAGAGUUCCAUGACAGAAGAGCUGAAGGCUUCUUGUCCUGCAUCUUCUUCCCCGACAUCAGCAAGCUUGGAGAGCUGGGUGGGUGGUCUUCAUCCAGCACCUUCCUGGCCGCCUUCUCUGGCUGCAGGGAGCAGCCCGGGGCCGGGGCCGGGGCCGGGGCCAGGAGCACUGCUGGAGCCGGGUCAGGCUUCCCAAGGGGAAGGCCACCUCCAGCAGGGCUGUGUGAGCUGGGGGCCUCAUGGCCCUCCCAGAAGGAGCCACUCACUGGAGACACCUGGGCCUUCUCUCUCAAAUGGUUUUCCAACAGGUAGGGGUGGGCAUUUCCCUGCAGAGGCCCGGGCCUGCACCCGAAGGAGGUGAGGUCUCCCUGGGUCUCCAGGGCCCUAGACGUGGAUGAAGUCCUGCCGUGGCUACGGGGGCUCUUUUCUUGUCAUCCUGCUCCUGGGUCUCUACGUGAUGCUCCUGCGUCACUGUUCUGGGCUCCUCUUCGGCCCUACCCUCAGUCUCCUUCGGGAGCCUGGCUGGGACCUGCUUAGGUGGUGAAGGCAGCGGGAGGGCGAACUUGCGGACGGGAGGAGGGUCCUCAGGGACCCUGGGUGCAGCAACCUUCGGGAGUUCCCAACAGGUGGCUCAGAGGCCACAGCCUGCAGGAACUCCAGAGGGUCACCCUUGUCAUGUGGGAGAGGACAAGGGGUGCCACACAAGCUGCCUGGAGAGGAGGGCCUAGGAGGCCGCCGCGGGUUGAACAGGAAUAAGAAAGGGCCUGGCUGUCCUGGGCAGGCGCAGAGGCCUUUAGGGCAAGGGGCGGCCGCUGGCCCGAGAGCCUGCAGGCAGACCAGAGAAGAAACGUGUGAAGUAAAUUGCCCAUCUCCACCGAGGGACAGAAGCAAGGCAAUGAACCUCCAUCCGGCUACAGGAAAGAAUGAGAAAACACCAUGUCUCCACGAUAAGGAGGCACACAGGCCAGAGCGUGAGCUGUGGAAUCACACAGCCCGGGUUCACAGCCUGGCUGGGCCACUGCCACCUGAAUGACCUGGAGAAGAGUCUCAGGCCCAAAUGUUGUUUUAGCAAUAUCCAGUACAAAACGAAGGAGUGUUUUAGCAAAUUUGUAAAAGGAAGUGAGCACAACUCGCUCGAGAUGGGCAAUUUACAUGUAUUUUCUCUGGGUACUUUGCACGGUGGCAUAUGUGUAAUAAGCACAUGCACUCCUAGGAUGAGGCCUUUACCUCAACUCAUAAGUUGACCAUGGCCCACAGUGGGCUCCAGUCCUCUAAGAAAAUGUAGGGCAGGGACCAGCAAUUGUCCCACAGGGUCAUGCCACAUUUCUCUUCUAAUGGAGCCUUGCAGCUCAGAUGAUCUUUUUGAUCCUGUGUGAGGUAUCUAAGUAUAUAAAGAUUAUGUUCUAGACCCAUUAUGGUCUAUCCUGAAAGAAAUUCACCAGCAGUUUAUUUAUUAUGGAUAAGAAUCCAUGUUCUCCAAUGAGAACACUUGGACACAGGGUGGGGAACGUCAGAGGGUGGGGAACGUCACAUGCCAGAGCCUGUCGGGGGCUGCGGGGCUGGGGGAGGGAUAGCAUUAAGUAUCAGGGAACCUGCCCCAAUAGUCACAAAGGUUCUUUUCUAUUUUCCCUAAGCAUCAGCCGGUUUGAGAAAUAAGUACAAAAGAGAGAAAUUUUAAAGCU